CCUCCACUAGGUGGUCCAGCUGAGCCAACAGAACCAGAACCACGGUGAGCCUGAUGUCGACCAGAAUGUGUUGGCGCCAUUACAGACGACGACUGACUGCCAUGUGCCGAGUGUUCGCCUGAUGAUUUACUAGGGCUGCUUAUUUUCUGAGGUGAAUUUACGGGAGAUCUUGCAAGCUGGGGUGGAGCCGUGUCGCCUCUUUCAUCCCUAUAUGACAC